UACGUAGGGGGCAAGCGUUGUCCGGAAUCAUUGGGCGUAAAGCGCGUGUAGGCGGCUGAGCACGUCUGCUGUGAAAGCCCGGGGCUCAACUCCGGGAGGCGGGUGGAUACUGCUCAGCUCGAGUCCGGAAGAGGAGUGUGGAAUUCCUGGUGUAGCGGUGAAAUGCGCAGAUAUCAGGAGGAACACCAAUGGCGAAGGCAGCACUCUGGGACGGUACUGACGCUGAGACGCGAAAGCGUGGGGAGCAAACAGG
rnacentral:rRNA from 1 species